rnacentral:rRNA from 1 species
CUACGGGGGGCACCAGUGAGGAAUAUUGCACAAUGGGGGGAACCCUGAUGCAGCAACGCCGCGUGGAGGAUGACGCAUUUCGGUGUGUAAACUCCUUUUAUAUGUCAAGAAAAUGACGGUAGCAUAUGAAUAAGCACCGGCUAACUCCGUGCCAGCAGCCGCGGUAAUACGGAGGGUGCAAGCGCUACUCGGAAUCACUGGGCGUAAAGGACGCGUAGGCGGGUUGGAAAGUCAGGUGUGAAAUCCUACAGCUUAACUGUAGAACUGCACUUGAAACUUCUAAUCUAGAGUAUGGGAGGGGGAGAUGGAAUUAGUGGUGUAGGGGUAACAUCCGUAGAUAUCACUAGGAAUACCUAAAGCGAAGGCGAUCUCCUGGAACAUUACUGACGCUAAGGCGUGAAAGCGUGGGGAGCAAACAGGAUUAGAUACCCCGGUAGUC